rnacentral:rRNA from 1 species
GAUGAACGCUAGCGACAGGCUUAACACAUACAAGUCGAGGGGCAGCAUAAAAGUAGCAAUACUUUGGUGGCGACCGGCGCACGGGUGAGUAACGCGUAUGCAACCUACCUAUCAGAGGGGAAUAACCCGGCGAAAGUCGGACUAAUACCGCAUAAAACAGGGGCACCGCAUGGUGAUAUUUGUUAAAGAAAUUCGCUGAUAGAUGGGCAUGCGUUCCAUUAGGUAGUUGGUGAGGUAACGGCUCACCAAGCCGACGAUGGAUAGGGGAACUGAGAGGUUGGUCCCCCACACUGGUACUGAGACACGGACCAGACUCCUACGGGAGGCAGCAGUGAGGAAUAUUGGUCAAUGGGCGGGAGCCUGAACCAGCCAAGUCGCGUGAAGGAAGAAGGAUCUAUGGUUCGUAAACUUCUUUUGCAGGGGAAUAAAGUGCAGGACGUGUCCUGUUUUGUAUGUACCCUGAGAAUAAGGAUCGGCUAACUCCGUGCCAGCAGCCGCGGUAAAGUAGACG